GCGGUGGAUUUUCGCCGACGGAGGGAGUAGAGGGAGCUUCUUUUGCAAAGAAAAAGGGAAGGGGGAGACCACCUGGUUCUGGAAAAAAACAGCAAUUAGGUGAUUUAGGUAAUAACGGCUACAUAUAUCUGCGUGUAUAUAUUAUUUUAUUAUUGUUGCCUUUUCUUUAUUUUAUAUCAGAUAAUUCUCUGGGUUUCCUUCGCUUUCAGCUGUUUGUAGGAAUAGCUGAUAUAUCUGACAUGAAUAUUAUUUAAUUGAUGGCACUUUUUAUCUAAUUAUAUAAUCAAUAUAUUUUUUAACGUAAAAGGAAAAAAAAUCACUAGUAUUCUCUUACCUUUUUUUUUCUUCCUUUGCUUUCAAUUGCUUAUAGUUGCAUGGUAAGCAACCUCACCUCCAAGCCUAGGGUCGUGGAUUAGAGUCAGUUUGUGUGUCCGAAUCAUUAAAAGAGCAGACUAGGGUGGGAGCUC
rnacentral:lncRNA from 1 species